rnacentral:rRNA from 1 species
GAGGAAUAUUGGUCAAUGGACGGAAGUCUGAACCAGCCAAGUAGCGUGCAGGAAGACGGCCCUAUGGGUUGUAAACUGCUUUUGUAUGGGGAUAAAGUCAAUCACGUGUGAUUGUUUGCAGGUACCAUACGAAUAAGGACCGGCUAAUUCCGUGCCAGCAGCCGCGGUAAUACGGAAGGUUCGGGCGUUAUCCGGAUUUAUUGGGUUUAAAGGGAGCGUAGGCCGGAGAUUAAGUGUGUUGUGAAAUGUAGACGCUCAACGUCUGACUUGCAGCGCAUACUGGUUUCCUUGAGUACGCACAACGUUGGCGGAAUUCGUCGUGUAGCGGUGAAAUGCUUAGAUAUGACGAAGAACUCCGAUUGCGAAGGCAGCUGACGGGAGCGCAACUGACGCUGAAGCUCGAAGGUGCGGGUAUCGAACAGGAUUAGAUACCCUGGUAGUCCGCACAGUAAACGAUGGAUGCCCGCUGUUGGUACCUAGUAUCAGCGGCUAAGCGAAAGCAUUAAGCAUCCCACCUGGGGAGUACGCCGGCAACGGUG